AUGCUUGGUACGGUGUAGCUAGCGCGGGGGCCGGGCCGGUGGGACGGGCUCUGGGCUUCACUUGGCUGUCCUGGAGCAGCUUCUCCCUCUUGCGGUCGCAGGCGAGGCGGAGCCGUGUUUCCACACUCAGAACCGCAUAACAAGAGAAAAACAAUUUUGUUUGGCUGGACAACAUGGAAGAAUGAAUAAAAGGAGAGAAUAAGCUGCAAAUCCAAAGCCUUCAGGAGAGAGAGAGCAUGACUGAAAGGAAUAGAGAAUGGAACUGAUAGAUGAAAUGUCAUGUCAUAAAGAAAACAAGCAUUUUCCUUGUAAGGACGUAUCAACCACCAGCAAAGUGCUGAGAGCUUCCAAAUCUGUACCAUUAGUGCAGAUAUCUUUUCUGGGAUUCAGGACUGCCUAAACCCCACAUCUAGCUUUCAGUGAUCCAUCUGCUUAACUCCAUUUGUCUUGCUGUUAGCUUUCCUCAUGACUUGGACCAAACUCUGGGAGAGCAAUGGCAUUCACUUUGCCUAAUAGAAUUGUGAAUAGACUCUUUAAUAUUCCAGGCACUUUCAGUUAUUAGAACUGUUCUAUUUCAGCCUUUAACAUCUCAGUCUUGUAUAUUUUAAGACUUCCCUCUCAAACUCUAUUCAAAGCUCUCUCUUUUCUUAAAAGCACAGCUAGGACUAUCUGGUUGGUCUUCAGUAACUUAGAACAAAGUUUCCACAUCGAACUUCCUCUUCUAGGUACUAGCUCCUCUCUUAGGUUCUGGUGGAGAGGAGGGAGUGGGGAAAAAACCCAAGCCUUUACUUAUUGAAUUGAGAGUGGAAGCAAUUACUUGUAAUUGGUAAGAGGUUUCUCUGGCUGCCAUUGGUCGUUUCUGUCAUGGGUUGUAGAGGACCCUGAUGAUUCUUUGACAUGGGAGAUAAGCUCUGGUUUAUUAUUUCCAUUUCCUGUACCCUUAGCUUCUGGCUUGAUAGCAUCUUACUGCUGGGGUGUCUCUUGGGAGAAGUUCCUGCAAAGAGAGGCUGAAACUCAACUCCUUUUGAGGUGUCUACUUGGCUCGGCCUUAACACUAUGAGUGCCGUUUCAUUGCUUCAUCUUUUAGCCUUGUCUUCUUUCUCUCUUCCCAGCUAAUGGUUACCCAGUGGUAGAGUCUGUUGGUUCCCAACUGGGAACAAAAUGUUUUUCUCCUUUUUUGGUAGGAGUUUUUACUAUUGUAAAAGGGAUUUUUAUGAAGCUGCCCGUUCCCAGUGGAUUUCGGAAGGAGAAGCAUUCAUGUAGAUGUAUUGGGAAAGGAAAAGAAAGUUAUCUUCUCCUUGGAUACUGCACGCAAUUCACUCUCUCCUCCCCAUCUUUUAUGUGUUUUCACUGUUAGAGAAGAUGAUCAUUGAGUGUGGUAGAGAAGAGUUUGGAUUCUUGCCUCCCAUUCGGCCUUGAAGAUAUGUGUGAGCCCAAGUGCUGAUGAAUUUCUGAGCUUAUAAUGUAAGAACUUUGUAUGUUUUGUGUAUGAUUUUGAGCCUUUGCUGUAAUUCUUAGAACACAGAACAAAAUCUCAAACAAACCUCCUGUUAUACUCCACUAAAUUUAAA